UCCGAUAUGGUCUAGUGGCUAGGAUUUGCCGCUCUCAUCGAGAGUAUACUCACAAGUGCCGGCAAGGCCCGGGUUCGAUUCCCGGUGUCGGAA